rnacentral:rRNA from 1 species
GCCGGUUUCCCUAGAUGAUCUUCACCGGUUGUCCUGGGUGACCGGCACGUUUACUUUGAAAAAAUUAGAGUGCUCAAAGCAGGCGCGUAGCCUGGAUAAUGGUGCAUGGAAUAAUGGAAUAGGACUUCGUUUCUAUUUUGUUGGUUUUCGGAACACGAGGUAAUGAUUAAGAGGGACAGACGGGGGCAUUCGUAUUGCGACGCUAGAGGUGAAAUUCUUGGACCGUCGCAAGACGAACUACUGCGAAAGCAUUUGCCAAGAAUGUUUUCAUUAAUCAAGAACGAAAGUUAGAGGUUCGAAGGCGAUCAGAUACCGCCCUAGUUCUAACCAUAAACGAUGCCAACCAGCGAUCCGCCUGAGUUCCUCAAAUGACUCGGCGGGCAGCUUCUGGGAAACCAAAGUGUUUGGGUUCCGGGGGAAGUAUGGUUGCAAAGCUGAAACUUAAAGGAAUUGACGGAAGGGCACCACCAGGCGUGGAGCUUGCGGUUUAAUUUGACUCAACACGGGGAAACUCACCCGGCCCGGACACUGGAAGGAUUGACAGAUUAAGAGCUCUUUCUUGAUUCAGCGGGUGGUGGUGCAUGGCCGUUCUUAGUUGGUGGAGCGAUUUGUCUGGUUAAUUCCGAUAACGAGCGAGAUUCUAUCCUACUAAAUAGGCGUCCCGAUCACUCCCGUCGGGCGUUCUUCUUAGAGGGACAAGUGGCGUUUAGCCGCACGAGACAGAGCAAUAACAGGUCUGUGAUGCCCUUAGAUGGUCGGGGCUGCACGCGUGCUACACUGAAGGAAUCAGCGUGUGCUUUCCCUGUCCGGAAGGACUGGGUAACCCGUUGAACCUCCUUCGUGAUAGGGAUAGGGGCUUGUAAUUGUUCCCCUUGAACGAGGAAUGCCCAGUAAGCGCGAGUCAUAAGCUCGUGUUGAUUACGUCCCUGCCCUUUGUACACACCGCCCGUCGCUACUACCGAUUGAAUGAUUUAGUGAGGUCUUCGGACUGGCGCUCGGAGCGGCCGCAA